GAGAGCUGCCCAGAGUGAAGCUUGUGGUAUAGAGGGACAGCUGCUGAUUAUCAAGCUUAUGGAGUGACUGGAAGAAAGUGGGAGGAGCCUGGAAGGAGUGGUGGAGGUACAGUACUUGGAGAAAAUCCCUCCACCAUGACGACUGGGUGUCUGCUGUACAGUCCAACCGACCAAUGGUGAGAGAGAGAGAGAGAGAGAGAGAGAGAGAGAGAGAGAGAGAGAGAGAGAGAGAGAGAGAGAGAGAGAGAGAGAGAGAGAGAUUAUUAUUAUAGUUUAUUGACAGAAUUUUGCGAUUACAAGAAGCUUAAAGUAAAAAUCAUUUCACUAAAAGAGAGAGAGAGAGAGAGUCUUGAUAGAGAGUCUUGAUAGAGAGAGAGAGAGAGAGAGAGAGAGAGAGAGAGAGUCUUGAUAGAUAAUAUUGAGCACAGUCUUCACCGCUGGGUCGACUGUGGGGGCUGCGCUAUUCCGGUUGGUGGCCGGUUGGUGGCCGUGGCUGUUCACGCACUAGCUCUUGCUGUGGCUGGCAUGCUGUUCUGUCCUCUCUUGUUCCAGGAAUUGCUGUCUGAGGUGUGUGUGUGUGUGUAGAAGCCACCAUCAUCAACCACAGCAGGUGAUAAUGAUGUUUCCUGCUUUCAUCCUCAUUGGGGCUAGCCAGGACCAACUUGGGGCUGUACUGGGGUGACGCUGUGUGCCUCAGGUGGGUCUGGAGGGCUGAGAUAGUGAGAAGGUAACAAUUAAAAAGGACUAGUGUACACUUAAACCAUUACAAACACUAUGUAAUGCUGGUAUACACACACAAACACUGGUUUACACAUAGAGACAUAUAUAAACACUUUGCUAUGGUUUGUAUACUCUUAGAAACACACAUAAACUCUUAAUAAGUCUAGUAUACACACAAACUUGUAUACAAACACUAGUAUAUAUUUAGAGACACAUCCAAAUCUUUGCUAAGUCUGAUAUAAGCACAUAAACUCAAUAAGAUGCUGGUAUAUGCUUGGAAAUCUAUACACACAUUUGGUUAGGCUAGUAUACACAAAUCUAUACAUAUAUUAGGAAUUUAUUGAAUGAUUGAGAUGAUUAGUUCUCUCUCUCUCUCUCUCUCUCUCUCUCUCUCUCUCUCUCUCUC